AAGUCUCAGGGAAGACUGGAGUUGGCAUAGUGGCUGCACCCAUGACCUCAUAGCAGCUGAACACAGGAAAACAGCCAGAAGUAGAGGACCUGCAUCAGCUUCCCUGGCUUCAUGGUCACCAGCCCCAAAUUCUGUUUUACAGAAUUUGCAUUACAGUACAGACUCAGGCCUGGCUUCUCUCUUCUGCCAUCUACUGGUGUGUGGCCUCCCUCUACGAUUCCAGAACAGAGACCACCUGUGCUGGUGCAGUGCAGCACCACUGCUGUGUACCAGAAGACAAGGACCUGACUUCAGACAUGGAUCUGGCUGCACUCUGGGAAGGAAGAAGAUCUGCUCCACUUCCUGUGAACUUCAGUCCAGCACUGGUGGAAGCAUAGUUGGAAGAGCCCACAGCCUGAGGCCGGGGCAUGAAGACACUCCUUUC